rnacentral:misc_RNA from 1 species
AAGUCGUAACAAGGUUUCCGUAGGUGAACCUGCGGAAGGAUCAUUAAAGAAUUCGGCUUCGCGGCCAAGUUCUCACCCUUUGUAUGCCGAACCAUGUUGCUUUGGGCAGGCCCCCCAUUUUUCGGGGCCUCCAGAGGUUUAUAAACCCCUAGAAUCUCUGCUGUCUGAGUACUAUACAAUAGUUAAA